AUUGAACGCUGGCGGCAGGCUUAACACAUGCAAGUCGAGCGGAGUGAUGGUGCUUGCACUAUCACUUAGCGGCGGACGGGUGAGUAAUGCUUAGGAAUCUGCCUAUUAGUGGGGGACAGCAUCUCGAAAGGGAUGCUAAUACCGCAUACGUCCUACGGGAGAAAGCAGGGGAUCACUUGUGACCUUGCGCUAAUAGAUGAGCCUAAGUCGGAUUAGCUAGUUGGUGGGGUAAAGGCCUACCAAGGCGACGAUCUGUAGCGGGUCUGAGAGGAUGAUCCCCCCGACUGGGACUGAGACACGGCCCAGACUCCUACGGGAGGCAGCAGUGGGGAAUAUUGGACAAUGGGGGGAACCCUGAUCCAGCCAUGCCGCGUGUGUGAAGAAGGCCUUAUGGUUGUAAAGCACUUUAAGCGAGGAGGAGGCUCUUUUGGUUAAUACCCAAGAUGAGUGGACGUUACUCGCAGAAUAAGCACCGGCUAACUCUGUGCCAGCAGCCGCAGUAA
rnacentral:rRNA from 1 species